rnacentral:rRNA from 1 species
UGGGGAAUAUUGCGCAAUGGGGGGAACCCUGACGCAGCCAUGCCGCGUGAAUGAAGAAGGCCUUCGGGUUGUAAAGUUCUUUCGGUAUUGAGGAAGGUUGAUGUGUUAAUAGCACAUCAAAUUGACGUUAAAUACAGAAGAAGCACCGGCUAACUCCGUGCCAGCAGCCGCGGUAAUACGGAGGGUGCGAGCGUUAAUCGGAAUAACUGGGCGUAAAGGGCACGCAGGCGGUUAUUUAAGUGAGGUGUGAAAGCCCCGGGCUUAACCUGGGAAUUGCAUUUCAGACUGGGUAACUAGAGUACUUUAGGGAGGGGUAGAAUUCCACGUGUAGCGGUGAAAUGCGUAGAGAUGUGGAGGAAUACCGAAGGCGAAGGCAGCCCCUUGGGAAUGUACUGACGCUCAUGUGCGAAAGCGUGGAGAGCAAACAGGAUUAGAUACCCUGGUAGUCCACGCUGUAAACGCUGUCGAUUUGGGGUUGGGGUUUAACUCUGGCGCCCGUAGCUAACGUGAUAAAUCGACCGCCUGGGGAGUACGGCCGCAAGGUUA